UACGGGGGAUGCAAGCGUUAUCCGGAUUUAUUGGGUUUAAAGGGUGCGUAGGCUGUGAGGUAAGUCAGCGGUGAAAUGCCCCCGCUCAACGGGGUGAAGUGCCAUUGAUACUGCCUUGCUGGAAUGCGGAUGCCGUGGGAGGAAUGUGUGGUGUAGCGGUGAAAUGCAUAGAUAUCACACAGAACACCGAUUGCGAAGGCAUCUCACGAAUCCGCGAUUGACGCUGUUGCACGAAAGCGUGGGUAUCAAACAGG
rnacentral:rRNA from 1 species